rnacentral:rRNA from 1 species
GAUGAACGCUGGCGGCGUGCCUAAUACAUGCAAGUCGAGCGAACAGACGAGGAGCUUGCUCCUCUGACGUUAGCGGCGGACGGGUGAGUAACACGUGGAUAACCUACCUAUAAGACUGGGAUAACUUCGGGAAACCGGAGCUAAUACCGGAUAAUAUAUUGAACCGCAUGGUUCAAUAGUGAAAGACGGUUUUGCUGUCACUUAUAGAUGGAUCCGCGCCUCAUUAGCUAGUUGGUAAGGUAACGGCUUACCAAGGCAACGAUGCGUAGCCGACCUGAGAGGGUGAUCGGCCACACUGGAACUGAGACACGGUCCAGACUCCUACGGGAGGCAGCAGUAGGGAAUUUUCCGCAAUGGGCGAAAGCCUGACGCAGCAACGCCGCGUGAGUGAUGAAGGUCUUCGGAUCGUAAAGCUCUGUUAUUAGGGAAGAACAAAUGUGUAAGUAACUAUGCACGUAUUGACGGUACCUAAUCAGAAAGCCCCGGCUAACUACGUG